AUGAUGUGAGUUGUUGUGGAAAUCUUCUCAACAGCAGCAAUAAUGUUUGUCUUUGAAUGAUGUUGCAUCAUCAGGAAGGACAAGCCAUUUUCGCAACCAUGGGGAGCGAAGCAAUAGUUCAUGGCACGAAACGGCUUCACAGUGCAGAGGAUGAGUUCGCAGUCUGGAACGAGAGUGAUGCUAUUGGAAGAGGUGGGUCUGAGGAAGUCCACGAUGAAGGAACUUAAUAUUUCAGGCAAAAAUGGAUGUCAUUUGAACUACCAUGCUCUCCUCACUCGCUUCAAAAGCUAAUAAAUUACAACUUUCUACUCUGGUUACGAAACUUGGAUUCAUGGCAGCAAUUACAACUCAAAGCUGCUAGUUUACGAAUUCACGGCCAAAGGUGAGAUUUUGCACAUGAAGUUGGGAGUUACUCUCGACUGGAGAAUUUGGUUGAGGAUCGACCCAAGCUCUGCGCAGCUAUGAAACUCUAAGCUUAUACACGCCUUAUUUUGCAGGUUCCCAUGGGUUACAUUGCGCCUGAUAGGCUUCAUGUUUUCUCUCCCUCUGAUUUAUCGCCUCCUUUGGCACAACCAGAUGCCUCGAAUUUCUAGACAUGCGUUC
rnacentral:lncRNA from 1 species